AAAAGCCUUGCAGGAACGAGUUACAGUCGUUCAAAGAUAAGGUGUAAAAAUUUAAUAUUUUAAAUUAUUUAAAACGUAUCUCCGCCCAUCUUUUAAUAAACUCUUAUGUAGAGGAACCCAAAGAGACGAAUCCUUCGGAGUGGCAAUUCUGACGUGGUAAAUCAAGAAAGAUACACAUAAUUCUUCAGGCAAAAGCAAAAUCUAGGACAUCAUUUGUACAGGAAGAACCAAUUCGUGUUACACUGUAUCACCAAGGAGAUAAUCACCACAAAUAGGUUCAAUCUAAGUUCAUUCCGCAUUUCCUUCCGACGGAAUUGAGGGUGAUCUUUGUAAGGAUGGGCAACUGAAGAAAAGAAAUAAAGUAACAACUGCGUUUUGUAUCAAUUAGUUUGUUGCUCAUUGAACCUGCAGCAUGAUCAGGCGCUGAACCAAACGGCUCACAAAAAUACCCUUUAUCCUAGUUUAAAGACCAAAGAAACUUGCGUGCUCACGUGGGCAAGGAUAAAACUGGAUCAAAAGAUGGAGAACAUUAGGAAUGUUCCGGAAGCCAUAAAUAACAGAGCUGCAGAGCGGGGGUGAAGUGAGACUGCAGUUUUUUCCUGCAGAGAAAAACUGCGGCACCGAUGACGACCAGAGGCUGCGUUUUGGCGACUGCAGUCUGCAAGCCUCCCGACAGAGGCACCUAAACGCCACGUCCUUGUCGCAGAGUAGGGAGAAAAAAAGAGCCGAAAAAGAUGCUGAAUAAUGAACAAAGCGUUCUCAGUUGCGCCAUGUAUGAGAAGAAUCGGGCUAGGACUGAAGG